rnacentral:rRNA from 1 species
GGUGAACGCUGGCGGCGUGGAUGAGGCAUGCAAGUCGAAUGGGUUUAGGCCCAUGGCAGACGAGGUAGGAACACGUAGGUACGUACCGGAGAGUCGGGCAUAACCUGCCGAAAGGCAGAAUAAUUCUCGAUAGUCCCUUAGGGGUAAAGAUUUAUCGCUCUCUGAACGGCCUGCGUUCUAUCAGCUUGUUGGUGAGGUAA